ACUUACGGCAACACCGGCCUGAGUACGCCUGAUCUCGUCCGAUCUCGGAAGCUAAGCAGGGUCGGGCCUGGUUAGUACUUGGAUGGGAGACAGCCUGGCAAUACCAGGUGCUGUAAGCU
ensembl:rRNA 5S_rRNA 5S ribosomal RNA